AUGGCGCCCAACGCGGGGGCGUGGUGGGCGUCCCAUGUUGGGCCGGGCCUGCUCAGGAGUCUCAGCAACUAAGGCUACUCUAAAUUGAACAUCAAACAAGAUUUUUAUUUUCUCCAAGUUCUUGACAGGCUUGGCACAAGUUGUUGGGGUUACAAAUACAAACAGUCAAUUUAUGAAUCAUGCAGAUGUUUCCCCUUAGCUGCUGGGUUAACUUCUUCCAAAGAUGGAGAGAUCCUGGGAUGCUACCGACUCAGCAACACCCUGAUAGUUAACCAUCCACAGAGAUCUGCUCUACCGACAUCCCAAAGAGGAUGCAUUUGGAAAUCCCGUAGGUCUUGUUGAUCCGUUUGAGGUUGCGGCUGCCCCGCAAGAGCUCCAUGUGCCUCUUCAAGGAAGAGUCCAGGUUGACCGUGUAGGGCAGGAAGAAGUUGGCGUCCUGCACCCGGAAACGCCCGCAGAGGAAGUUGUGGAAAAGCUCCGGGUCCCUGUCCAGCUCCAGCAGCUUCUCCAGCUGGGCUUUGAGCAUGUCGAGCUCUUCCAUGUACUUCUCGUACACCUCCCACAAGAAGAGGUCCGGGGUGAGCUGGCACUCUUGGCCCUCGCAAAGGCGGCCCGUCUGCUCAUCGUCCUCAAUGCAUUGCAAGAUCCAACUCAGUCGGCAGGGCCACUGGUUGGCGAGGAGAACCCAGGCGGUGACCUUUUGCGGACACAGCUUGUCUCGAGGAACCUCCGUCGCCAUGAGCCGCACCGUGACAGUGAUGUUGUUGAUGAUCCGUUUCAUUUGCAACGUGUUGUCUGUCACGUACUCCUUCAUGCUGUCGUCCAGCAAGUACUCAAAGGCCUCUUGGAUCAAAUCUUUGGCUUUGAAGCCUUUACCGCAUCUUCUAUUGUGUGGCUCUUCCAUCUUGGGGGAAUGAACCACCACUAAAGGCACUCGGCUGCUGUCUCUGCUUCUGCCGGGCAUCUUCUGAUCAGCGGAUUUACAGCAACAGCAAAUCAUUGACGUGUUUGUCUCUUUAGCCGGGUUCUUCAGCAGGAAAUUUUCUCCCGAUUCCUCGUCGUCUUCAAAACUGUUCUCUUGCUCCUCCUUGCAUUGAACCAUUCUCUGGAUCAGCUGCAUCUUGGUGUUGUGGUCCGUCUUGGGAACCGAAAAGGGCAAGGUGAUGAUGCGAUUGAGGAAAUCGUAGCCAUUGUUGGCCAUCCCUUUCAUGAACAGGGAGUUCUCCACGCAGUCCACGAUCACGCUCGGGUCGGCCACCAAGAUGGAGAUGAAUGGGGCCUCGUAGUCCGAGAGGAGGAUGUUCAUUGCAUCCAGGACACCUACCACUUUGUCGGGGCUGCAGCGGUCCAAGCUGGUGAUUUCCAGAACCACCCGGAGUUUCCUGCGCUGGAAGAUCUCCAUGAACUGCAGGAACUUGGCGAUGAUCCUGACCUCCCUCUUGACAUUACUCAUGAAGCCCAGCUGGGCGCUGAGGUCCGUCCGGUUCAUCUGCCUCUCUAGUUGAGCCUUUUGGUUGACCACUACGUUCCGGAGCACCAUCACACCCAUCCGGACUGCCGCCGCUGCUGUGAUCCCCACCGCCGUGGCCCCGACACCCUCGGCCACCGCAAUGGCGUCUCCAGAAGCAUCACCAACCGGGAUGCCGUACAGAAAGAUGAGGACGGCAACCACAACAGCUACUCCCAACACCAGAAGGAUUGCGGCCCAUAAGGGUAGGCAGAGAUAUUUCUUGCUGACCCAUUCUUUGGGUAGAGACGACUCAACAAUGCCGCACUUCCGACCUACAGUCCGGUAGACGCUCAUCGGGACCAGGCCGAAAUGGUUUUCGAUGCCGUCACAUAGAGCCGUAAUGAGGCCUGCCCAGAGCUGGUCGCUCCCGGCGUAUUCCCAGGCACUGAAGUGAAUAAAAACGUGCUGAACAUUCCUCCUCUGCCUGUGUUGAGGUGUCAGGACGGGACGAUAGAAGAUCAUAAGGAGGAUGACGGAGACCAGGUCCCAACCGGUUGUCCCUCUCUGUCUCAACCCUGUCCGGUGGAAUUCCUGUUGGUCUUUUUUCCAGGAUUGAUAACGCAUAUAUUCUGAAGAGGAAAGGAAGAGAUUUAGGGCAUGGAUUAUGCAGAAACUCAUAGGGAAAAAUAUAUGAAAAUGUAUCUCCCCAAAUGGGUUGCUGUGAGUUUUUCUGGCUGUAUGACCAUGUUCCAGUAGCAUUCUCUCCUGACGUUUCACCUGCAUCUGUGGCUAAUGGUAUCUGUGGCGAGCUAUGAACGACUGAGGCUCUUUCAGGCAGGGGGGAACUUUUUUAUCCCACCGCUGCCACCAAUUUGUGGAGAAGUCAGAAAGGGGGAGAAAUCUUUCCAAAAAUCCUGCCUCUGACACCAAUUUCGGAGAUGUGGAGGAGUUCCUAUUAAUUAAUUAUAUUUAUAUUAUAUAUCCGCUGCCACCAAUAUAAAGAUGUUUUUAUUUAAAAGCUGUCACCAAAUGUCAAUGUCUUUAUAAUGCUGCUACCAAAUAUUAAGGGGAUUAUCAACUCUUGCCACCACUAUUGGAAGAUUUAGUUACUGGCUACUUAGAGAGGAGACUUUUAAAUCUUGGUUUUUCUUUCUUCUUCUUCAUUUUAGAUGACAGAGACUGAGAUGUUUGACAGAACAAUAACAAGUUUAUUCAGGCACAAGCUUAAUGGUUACAAUAACUUCUCUUCUUGUUUGGGGCACUUAGAUUAACAGUUGCAAUAACAGAAUGAGGUGAUUCAAACUUCCUAAUGUCACUUCUUUCUUUACUGCUCUAAACUGCAGUCACCCUAUGAAUUUCAAUCACAGCCUAUCUGUUCCUUAUCUGGAAACAGACUACCUUAAAAUAAGCCACCAAACUUAUUUUAAGCUGACUCAAAAUCCAACCUUUGAGCCACCCUGAUUCUCCAAAUGAGAAUCAGCCUUCCCUGUGCUUCAACAGAACACAGACUCUAAAAUCAACCUUCCCUGUGGUUCUCUGACCACAGACUGACUGACUGAGUUUCUUUUCAAAACUCUCUUCUGCAAAAUGACAGUUGGCUACGCCCACGUUUCUAUGGCAACCACUCAUGAGAGCAGAGUAACUGAAAUACUGACUCUUUUAAAACACAGUUAAACAUGACUUUUAAAACGCAGGUAAACAUGACAUCUGUAAACUAAAAUUCAUACUUCUUUACAGUAUCUUUAGAGGUUCUGUUGGCAGUAAGGCAAGUGGAGUGUAAAUACCUGUGGAAUGAUGUCUAGGAUGGGAGAAAGAACCCUUGUCUGUUUAAAGCAAGUGUUGAUGUUGCACACAACUCCCACGUUGCGUCAGCUCCACUGGUUGCCAGUUUGCUACCAAGCACAAUUCAAAGUGCUGGCUCUGGCCUAUAAAGCCCUAAACGGCCCCGGCCCAGUUUACCUGUCCGAAGGCAUCUCCCUCUAUGAACCACCACGGAGAUUGCAAUCUUCCGAGGAUCUUGCAAUCUUCCGCGGAGGCCCUGCUCUCAGUCCCGCCAUCAUCACAGGCGCGAUUGGUGGGGAUGAGAGGCAGGGUCUUCUCAGUGAUUGCAACUCCUUUCCUGGGGAGAUUAGAUUAGCUCGCGUCAUAGAUACCACAUUUCAGCAAACUGACACUGCGAAUCUAUAUACUGAAGCAGAGCCAACAAUAAACAAAUUGAGCAGAGCCAACAAUAUACAAAUUGAAAACUAUUUGCUGCUUAUCCAUUGCCGCUUACCAGAAGAAGGACAACCGAAACUGGAGUAAACCUGGGAGCCAGUAGUAAACGGACUACUGCAAUCUACAGCCAGCUACUUAGAAACAGCAUUGUGUUCUCCUAGCUGGGGCUCUUUUUGACAACUACUCAGAAUCAACAUUCAUGCAUAGUUUGUUCUCCAGACUUGGGAUCUUACUCUUGAGAAACUGAACUUACUUCCAAUAGACUGUAAUUUCAAGAGAUAUAUGCUAUACAUUUGAUGUCAUCAACACAGGAUCUCAAAGAAUCAAAAGAACUUUUGGUCAAGGUUUUUGGAACAAGCUUUUCAAUACCUGUGAAGUCUUAAAAUAUAUAUUAACCAA